GCCUAAAUGACUGAGUAUAGUAUUAGAUUUUUAAUCUAACCACGGCACAAUUCUGCCUUUAGG
rnacentral:tRNA from 1 species